GGGCGUAGAGGGCUCGCAGGCGGUUUCUUAAGUCUGAUGUGAAAGCCCCCGGCUCAACCGGGGAGGGUCAUUGGAAACUGGGGAACUUGAGUGCAGAAGAGGAGAGUGGAAUUCCACGUGUAGCGGUGAAAUGCGUAGAGAUGUGGAGGAACACCAGUGGCGAAGGCGACUCUCUGGUCUGUAACUGACGCUGAGGAGCGAAAGCGUGGGGAGCGAACAGGAUUAGAUACCCUGGUAGUCCACGCCGUAAACGAUGAGUGCUAAGUGUUAGGGGGUUUCCGCCCCUUAGUGCUGCAGCUAACGCAUUAAGCACUCCGCCUGGGGAGUACGGUCGCAAGACUGAAACUCAAAGGAAUUGACGGGGGCCCGCACAAGCGGUGGAGCAUGUGGUUUAAUUCGAAGCAACGCGAAGAACCUUACCAGGUCUUGACAUCCUCUGACAAUCCUAGAGAUAGGACGUCCCCUUCGGGGGCAGAGUGACAGGUGGUGCAUGGUUGUCGUCAGCUCGUGUCGUGAGAUGUUGGGUUAAGUCCCGCAACGAGCGCAACCCUUGAUCUUAUUUGCCAGCAUUCAGUUGGGCACUCUAAGGUGACUGCCGGUGACAAACCGGAGGAAGGUGGGGAUGACGUCUAAUCAUCAUGCCCCUUAUCACCUGUGCUACACACGUGCUACA
rnacentral:rRNA from 1 species